rnacentral:rRNA from 1 species
GUAGCGUGAAGGAUGACUGCCCUAUGGGUUGUAAACUUCUUUUAUAUGGGAAUAAAGUGAGCCACGUGUGGCUUUUUGUAUGUACCAUACGAAUAAGGAUCGGCUAACUCCGUGCCAGCAGCCGCGGUAAUACGGAGGAUCCAAGCGUUAUCCGGAUUUAUUGGGUUUAAAGGGAGCGUAGGCGGAUUAUUAAGUCAGUUGUGAAAGUUUGCGGCUCAACCGUAAAAUUGCAGUUGAUACUGGAUGUCUUGAGUGCAGUUGAGGCAGGCGGAAUUCGUGGUGUAGCGGUGAAAUGCUUAGAUAUCACGAAGAACUCCGAUUGCGAAGGCAGCCUGCUAAGCUGCAACUGACAUUGAGGCUCGAAAGUGUGGGUAUCAAACAGGAUUAGAUACCCUGGUAGUCCACACGGUAAACGAUGAACACUCGCUGUUUGCGAUAUACGGCAAGCGGCCAAGCGAAAGCGUUAAGUAUUCCACCUGGGGAGUACG